CUGGGGUCCGUGGGGCCCAUGGCCGCCCUCCACUCCUCCACGGCGUUCUCCUUCGUCAGCACCAUCACCGUACACGGGCCGCUGCAGAGAAAGAAACCACGUUUCAACUCAUCUGUGUUCUGCGUCGAGCCUUCUAGCUCAGAUCGUGUCCUUCAGGCGGGAAAUGGAGAAUCCUCUGGCCCGAAUCUCCUCCAGGAUUUCCUCUGAUGUGAGCAGAAGUCAAAUAAACGUGUCCGGUUUGAUGACGGCGAGCGUGUCCUCCGGUGGGAAGAAGAAGCCGAU